CACAGGGCGAUGGAGAGUUGCAUGGUGUGGGUCAGUGGGUCAGCAGCCACUGCCAAGAAGAAUUGGGCAAAAGUGACAAAAAGGAGAUCCAGAUGAUGCAGAUUUCAUGAGGCUGAUUGCAUCAAGGUCCAGGACGCUGAAGAGACUUCUUAACAGAAUUUGUAGUCACAAGAAAGAUAUCAAUACAUCAAAAACUCAGGCUUUCAUCCUUCAACAAUGGAUCUCAUGGGUCAUUGGAAUGGCUUUAUGGAUGUGCAGGGAGGACUACAAGGUACGAACUGACAAAACUUUGUGUAGGUUUGGAACAAUCACCCCCGUGACCAAUGAGCCCAGUUGAAAGUCUCUGACCAGACCACGAAAAAAGCACUUUCUUCACUGUCCUUUCCAUCAUUUCUCCAGUUUUCAAGCCUCCAGACUUUUGAAGUCUGUUCUUUUUUUUUUCUUGUUCUCUUUUAAAUUCCAAGCCCUGAUUUAGCUCAGGUGUAUGAACUGGCCAUGAAUCAAUCAUCAAUCAGUCAUCAUCAAUGUGAUAUUAAUGGAAUGAAAAGUAUCUAGGAUAAAGCAAGAAAUUCACAACAUAUCACAUUGUUUCACAAUGAGGAUUUUUAUACCUUGUCAAGGAG
rnacentral:lncRNA from 1 species